rnacentral:rRNA from 1 species
UACGUAGGGUGCGAGCGUUAAUCGGAAUUACUGGGCGUAAAGCGUGCGCAGGCGGUUCGUUAUGUCCGAUGUGAAAGCCCCGAGCUUAACUUGGGAAUGGCAUUGGAAACUGGCGGGCUGGAGUGCGGCAGAGGGGGGUGGAAUUCCACGUGUAGCAGUGAAAUGCGUAGAGAUGUGGAGGAACACCGAUGGCGAAGGCAGCCCCCUGGGCCGACACUGACGCUCAGGCACGAAAGCGUGGGGAGCGAACGGG